rnacentral:misc_RNA from 1 species
UCUCCGUAGGUGAACCUGCGGAGGGAUCAUUACUGAGUGAGGGCUCACGCCCGACCUCCAACCCUGUGUGAACACAUCUUGUUGCUUCGGGGGCGACCCUGCCGUUUCGACGGCGAGCGCCCCCGGAGGCCUUCAAACACUGCAUCUUUGCGUCGGAGUUUAAGUAAAUUAAACAAAACGUUCAACAACGGAUCUCUUGGUUCUGGCAACGAAGAAGAACGCAGC